rnacentral:sRNA from 1 species
GCGGACUGCGCUGUGAGCACAGCGGCCACGGGGCCCGCCAUGCGCCGGCGGCCCUGACAUGGGCGCCAGCGGGUCCAAAGCUCGGGGCCUGUGGCCCUUCGCCUCGGCGGCCGGAGGCGGCGGCUCAGAGGCAGCAGGAGCUGAGCAAGCUUUGGUGCGGCCUCGGGGCCGAGCUGUGCCCCCCUUCGUAUUCACGCGCCGCGGCUCUAUGUUCUAUGAUGAGGAUGGGGAUCUGGCUCACGAGUUCUAUGAGGAGACAAUCGUCACCAAGAACGGGCAGAAGCGGGCCAAGCUGAGGCGAGUGCAUAAGAAUCUGAUUCCUCAGUUCCUGAGCUGGUGCCAGGCAGGUGACACCUCCUGCAGCCCCCAGCAUGCGGGCAGGCCCAGGCCCCACUGUUACACUGGCCCUGGUGCUGGCGGUGGCAUGGGCCAUGGAGCUCAAGCCCACAGCACCACCCAUCUUCACUGGCCGGCCCUUUGUGGUAGCGUGGGACGUGCCCACACAGGACUGUGGCCCACGCCUCAAGGUGCCACUGGACCUGAAUGCCUUUGAUGUGCAGGCCUCACCUAAUGAGGGUUUUGUGAACCAGAAUAUUACCAUCUUCUACCGCGACCGUCUAGGCCUGUAUCCACGCUUCGAUUCUGCCGGAAGGUCUGUGCAUGGUGGUGUGCCACAGAAUGUCAGCCUUUGGGCACACCGGAAGAUGCUGCAGAAACGUGUGGAGCACUACAUUCGGACACAGGAGUCUGCGGGGCUGGCGGUCAUCGACUGGGAGGACUGGCGACCUGUGUGGGUGCGCAACUGGCAGGACAAAGAUGUGUAUCGCCGGUUAU